rnacentral:rRNA from 1 species
GAUGAACGCUAGCGGCAGGCUUAACACAUGCAAGUCGAGGGGUAACAUUGUAGCUUGCUACAGAUGACGACCGGCGCACGGGUGCGUAACGCGUAUAGAAUUUACCUUAUACUGGAGGAUAGCCUUUAGAAAUGAAGAUUAAUACUGCAUAAUAUAUUGUUUAGGCAUCUAGAUAAUAUUAAAGAUUUAUUGGUAUAAGAUAACUAUGCGUCCUAUUAGCUAGAUGGUAAGGUAACGGCUUACCAUGGCUACGAUAGGUAGGGGGUCUGAGAGGACUAUCCCCCACACUGGUACUGAGACACGGACCAGACUCCUACGGGAGGCAGCAGUGAGGAAUAUUGGUCAAUGGAGGCAACUCUGAACCAGCCAUGCCGCGUGCAGGAAGACUGCCUUAUGGGUUGUAAACUGCUUUUAUACAUUAAGAACUUGAGAUACGUGUAUUUCAUUGACGGUAGUGUAUGAAUAAGCACCGGCUAACUCCG